rnacentral:rRNA from 1 species
UACAGAGGUCUCAAGCGUUGUUCGGAUUCAUUGGGCGUAAAGGGGGUGUAGGUGGCGCCGUAAGUCGGAUGUGAAAUUUCGGAGCUUAACUCCGAAACUGCAUUCGAUACUGCGGUGCUUGAGGACUGGAGAGGAGACUGGAAUUCAUGGUGUAGCAGUGAAAUGCGUAGAGAUCAUGAGGAAGACCAGUGGCGAAGGCGGGUCUCUGGACAGUUCCUGACACUGAGACACGAAGGCCAGGGGAGCAAACGGG